GAUUAUGGAGACAUUCCCAGAAGCUUUAGUUGAGGGAGUAUUGGAACUUGUUCUUGGUUGAUUACUUACCCCCUUGGUGGAUUCGGUUAAUGAGGUGGACUUCAUAAGAGGUAAAAUCCGUGAGUUUUAUUUUAAGCGCUACAGUCUUGCUUGUAUUGGCGCCACAGUUUUGCUUAUAGAGGUAAAUUCCACAGUCUUGUUUAUAUUUUACGUCGCAGUUCUGUUAUAGAGGUAAAUUUUGUGAGUUUUAUAUUUCCCGCCCCAGACUUACGGUACUUAUAUUUUUCGCCACAGUUUUGCUUAUAGAGGUAAAAUCCACAGUCUUGUUUAUAUUUUACGUCACAGUUCUGUUAUAGAGGUAAAUUUUGUGAGUUUUAUAUUUCCCGCCCCAGACUUACGGUACUUAUAUUUUUCGCCACAGUUUUGCUUAUAGAGGUAAAUUCCGUAAGUCUUCAAUUCGGCGUUCGGACUUGCUUACACUUGGCGCCACAGUCUUGCUCGGCACUAGCUAUCUUACCUGGAAUGCUUGUUAUCGCCUCGUCGCUCCGAUAAGGUGCGCCACGCCCUUGUGUCUGGCGGGCAGGUGAGGGGCGCGGAGGACACCUGCCCGCGAUACCCCAUCUUAAGGAGGCUAUUUUGGGACAGGUACAGUGACUCGAGACCCCGAAGUGUAGAGAAAGGAAGGAAGAUGUAGAGCAGAGGAGAGGGAAGGCAGUGAAGGGUGGAUGGACGAGGAUUGGAAGCAGGGUAGUGAUUGUGUACCUGUCCGCGUCGUCUUACCUUAAUGAGCCUAUUGGGGAACGAUUACACGUAUGGAGAGCCGAAAGCCUGCGGUAUAGAGAAAGGAACAUGUAGAGCAGAGGAGAGGAAAGGCAGUGAAGGGUGGAUGGACGAGGAUUGGAACCAGGGUAGAGUGACUGUGUACCUGCCCGGGUCACUUCACCUUAAUGAGCCUAUUGGGGAACGAUUACACGUAUGGAGAGUCGAGAGCCUGAGAUGUAGAGAAGGGAAGGAACGUGGAGCAGAGGAGAGGAAAGGCAGUGAAGGGUGAAUGGACGAACAGGGGAAGCGAGAAAGAGUAAGUGAUUGUGUACUGCCCGGGACACUUACCUUAAGGAGUAUGUAAGGGAACAAUUACACGUGUCGAGGGCUUGGGAUGAGGGAAGGCAGUGAAUGGUGAUAGAGAGAACAGUGUGAGUAGGUUGAGAGGGAGAACAGGGGAGAGUGGGUUGACAGGGAGAGCAGGGAAGAGUAGGUUGACAGGGAGAGCAGGGAAGAGUAGGUUGACAGGGAGAGCAGGGAAGAGUAGGUUGACAGGGAGAGCAGGGAAGAGUAGGUUGACUGGGAGAGCAGGGAGAGAAGGUAGCGGUGUACUGCCUGUGACACUAUUCUUAAUUAGUCUGUUGGGAAAUUGAUAGUUUCUGAGACUCGAAGUACAGAGAUGAGAGAGACUUUGUAGAAUGGAAGGGAGGGGAUAUGGUGAAAGGUGGAGGGGAGAACGGGGGAAGCAAGGGAGACUAAAGUGAUUGCAUUCAUUAUAGGGGACUGAUUGACUAAUAUGGAGGGAGGUUCCUGGUGAUUAGAAGGGAGGCGAGGGAAGGGUAGGAAGCAGAGGUGGGCCCUUUGUACCGUUUAACUCAAGGAAAAGAGUUCAACUUCAUACAUAGAUCAUUCAUUGAGAUUAGUAAGGUCGUAGGGUCGUGACAGAACACCAGACGUCUCCGUACUUCUGAAUGAGUCACUGUAAUGUUAUCAGGACGAGAAGCCUUGCGUCAGAGCAGCGGGGAAGGCCUCGGUGUGAUAAGUGUUUUGUGGGAACUGCAUCGUGGGAAAAAGUCUUAGCUGAGAAAGAAAACCCAGCAUAAAUAUGAGAAAUGGCAGAUGUAGAUGAAAUGCUUGUAAUAAAGGAGAGAAAGGGAAGGAUGAGGGACAAAAAAGAGUAUUAAGAGAUGGCAGAAGACCCGGAAAAAGAUGAGAAUUACCAGACGUAGAUGUAAUGCUUGUUAAAUGGAAGAGAAAGGGAAGGAUGAGGAAUAGAAACGAGUAUAAAUAGGAACAAUAGGGAGAGAAAGUUAACGAUGAGAGACAAAGAAAGAGUAUUAAGAGAUGAAAGGAAGACCCGGAAAAAGAUGAGAAUUAAAAGACGUAGAUGAAAUGCUUGCUUAAUGGAAGAGAAAGGGAAGGAUGAGGAAUAGAAAAGAGUAUAAAUAUGAACAAUAGGGAGAGAAAGUUAACGAUGAGAGACAAAGAAAGAGUAUUAAGAGAUGAAAGGAGGACCCGAAAAAAGAUGAGAAUUACCAGACGUAGAUGUAAUGCUUGUUAAAUGGAAGAGAAAGGGAAGGAUGAGGAAUAGAAACGAGUAUAAAUAGGAACAAUAGGGAGAGAAAGUUAAGGAUGAGGGACAAAGAAAGAGUAUUAAGAGAUGAAAGGAAGACCCGGCAAAAGAUGAGAAUUACCAGACGUAGAUGAAAUGCUUGUUAAUGGAAGAGAAAGGGAAGGAUGAGGAAUAGAAAAGAGUAUAAAUAGGAACAAUAGGGAGAGAAAGGAAAGGAUAAGAAGCAAAACAGAAAGAGUAUUACAAAGAGAAAGAAAACCCAACGUAGAUACGAAAAAGGGAAAUGAAAUGCCUGUAAUAAAAGAGAGAAAGAGAAAAACGAAAUUGAGAAAGUGAAAAAUAAGGUGUGGUCACAAGCAUUAAACUAGUAAAAAAAAAAAAAUAAUUAUGACGUUGAAGAAAGAGAAGGAUGUGGUGUGGUCGGGAGCAAAAUGUUAGUGAAGCCAAUAAUGAUGGUGGAGAAAGGAGGGAGUGAGGUGUGGGCGGGAGUAUUUUAUUAGUGAAGCAGAUAAUGAGGAUGGAGAAAGAAAGAGAGAGUGGGAAGCAACGUUGGGUGCUGGUGACUCGCUCUAACUAACAGGAAGGAAGGAGAAAAAUAGUCACGCAAUAUUCUCAUCACUAUUUUUAUCCCUUAUCCUGCAGCCUACUUUCCACCCCAUAAACACUGAACUGAUUUAUAAAGGAGAUCGCUGCCGGCCACCUGUGUUGCAUCCAGCCUUCACUUCUGCCCUUGAGGAGGAGGAGGAGGAGGAGGGGUGAUGCAUGUGGUGGUGACGUGGUUAAAGAGCAAGAGAGUGAGGUUGAUUUAAAGGUGAGUCUGUGGUGGUGGCGAUGGUUGUGGUUGUGGUUAUCAUCUGUUUUCUUCCCAUGUCUUCCCUUCCCUCUCCUCCUUUUCCCUCCCUUUCUACCUCCUAUUUUUUCAUUCCCCUUUUCCUUGCCUUGUCUUCCCUUCCCUCUCCUCCGUUUCCCUCCCUUCUAUCUCCUUCCCUUCCACACUGUCCCUAUUUUUUUCCCUUUCCCUUCCCUUCCUCUCCCCUUCCUUCUCCCCCCUUUCCCUCCCUUCUAUCUCCUUCCCUUCCACACUGUCUAACCGUAUUUUUUCAUCACCCCUUUCCUUCCCUUUCCCUCCCCUUCCUUCUCCCUUUCCCUCCCUUCUACCUCCAUCCCUUCCAUACUGUCUAACCCUGUUUUUUCAUUCCCCUUUUCCUUGCGUUUCUCUCCUCUUUCUUCUCCCUCGUUUCCCUCCCUUCUACUUCCUUCCACAAUGUCUAAACCUAUUUUUUAUUUUCCUCUUUCCUUCCCUUUCACUCCCCUUCCUUCUCCUCCCUUUCCCUCCCCUUCUAUAUCCUUCCCUUU